rnacentral:rRNA from 1 species
GAGUGCCCGAAAGGGAAUCGGAACACAGGUGCUGCAUGGCUGUCGUCAGCUCGUGUCGUGAGAUGUUGGGNUAAGUCCCGCAACGAGCGCAACCCUUAUCAUUAGUUGCUACGCAAGNNCACUCUAAUGAGACUGCCGGUGACAAACCGGAGGAAGGUGGGGAUGACGUCAAGUCCUCAUGGCCCUUAUGGGUAGGGCUUCACACGUCAUACAAUGGUCGGUACAGAGGGUUGCCAAGCCGCGAGGCGGAGCCAAUCCCAGAAAGCCGAUCGUAGUCCGGAUUGUUCUCUGCAACUCGAGAGCAUGAAGUCGGAAUCGCUAGUAAUCGCGGAUCAGCAUGUCGCGGUGAAUACGUUCCCGGGUCUUGUACACACCGCCCGUCACACCAUGGGAGUGGAAUCUGGCAGAAGUAGGUAGCCUAACCGCAAGGAGGGCGCUUACCACGCUGGGUUUCAUGACUGGGGUGAAGUCGUAACAAGGUAACCAAGG